UACGAAGGGGGCGAGCGUUGUUCGGAUUUACUGGGCGUAAAGGGCGCGCAGGCGGCAGAUCAAGUCAGACGUGAAAGCCCCGGGCUUAACCUGGGAACUGCGUUUGGGACUGGUUGCUAGAGAUCGGGAGAGGAGAGUGGAAUUCCCGAGUGUAGAGGUGAAAUUCGUAGAUAUUAGGGAAAGAACACCGGUGGCGAAGGCGG
rnacentral:rRNA from 1 species